rnacentral:tRNA from 1 species
GGGUAUAGCUCAGUGGUAGAGCGCAUGCUUAGCAUGCACGAGGUCCUGGGUUCCAAUCCUUAGUACGGCCA